AGCUAUUUGCAGGGGGACUGUUCGCAGUUGAGAAGGUUAAAACCUGACCCUUUGAACCUGUUAGUUAAUACUGACGUAGGGAGCAAAUGACAUGUACUC
rnacentral:ncRNA from 2 species